CAGAGCGUGAGGCUCAGUCGUGGCAUCUGCCGCGCGCUGGGCCGACCCUCCCACCCGUGUCGAUUUGUAUCUUGUUGCUUUGGCGGACCGGGCUGUGUCGACGCUGCCCGCAAGGACAUGCGACGGCCGCCCACCGGCUUCGGCUGGAGCGCGUCCGCCAAAGACCCAACCAAAACUCAUGUUGUCUUUGCAGUCUUAAGCUUUAUUAUUGAAUUGAUA
rnacentral:misc_RNA from 1 species